AUGUACUAUGAUGAGACGACCGCCCCAUCUGUCAACCAGAAACUAGAGAUGGUGCUAGCUCAGCUGAGCUUUGUGCCCGGGUUCGUGUUCACCAAGGAUGUGACGUACUUCCAGUUCCUCGACCGCGUGCGCGUGGAGGAGGUUGUGCUUCGAUCGGCUGACGUGUGGGAUGUGCCACACCCAUGGCUGAACCUUUUCGUCCCCCGGUCACGCAUUCUCGACUUUGACGCUGGCGUGCUCAAAGGCAUCCUCGGGGGUGACAACCCAGUCGGGCUCAUCCUCAUGUACCCUAUGAACAUGGCAAAAUGGACCUCCCAAAUGACGGCGGUGACGCCUCCCACUGGCGAGGACGUAUUCUACACGGUGGGACUUCUUCGGUCGGCUCUAUCCCCCGAUGAACUAGAGCGCCUACAGAGGGAGAACCAAUCGGCGCUGGCGUUUUGUGACAAGGAGGGCAUCGAGUGCAAGCAGUAUCUGCCACACUACACAUCACAAGAUGGAUGGCGGCGACAUUUUGGGGCCAAGUGGAGCAACAUCGCUCAGCUCAAGAACAAAUAUGAUCCCCAUGCGAUAAUGUCACGGGGGCAGAGAAUUUUCCCCUUGCCAAGUGUGCCAGCAGCAGGCACCGCGACCACAUAG
rnacentral:rRNA from 1 species